rnacentral:rRNA from 1 species
UACGUAGGGACCGAGCGUUGUCCGGAUUCAUUGGGCGUAAAGAGCUCGUAGGCGGUGUGUCGCGUCGGCCGUGAAAACCUGCAGCUUAACUGUGGGCGUGCGGUCGAUACGGGCAUCACUGGAGUUCGGCAGGGGAGACUGGAAUUCCUGGUGUAGCGGUGAAAUGCGCAGAUAUCAGGAGGAACACCGAUGGCGAAGGCAGGUCUCUGGGCCACUACUGACGCUGAGAAGCGGAAAGCCAGGGGAGCAAACGGG